UCUCAAAAAUAGAUUUUGUGUUUGUUGGUUGAUUUUAGGUUUGAAAAGAGAUUUUGAAGAAUAGAGAUGAGAGGCCUCAAGGGCAUAAGGUUUGGAAAGUGUGAGGUGGAUUUAGUCAUUUUGCAAAAAUAAAGUCCAAGAAGGGUUAAGAUUCAUUGAAAGUUUUACUUAAGAAAAUAAAAGGGGAAAUAAGGAGUUUUGACUCCAUUUUAUUUUCAAAAAAAAGAUUUUCAAGUGAAGUUAUUUGCAUGUUCUUU
rnacentral:lncRNA from 1 species